rnacentral:rRNA from 1 species
GGGUUGUGAGGUUAAGCGACUAAGCGUACACGGUGGAUGCCCUGGCAGUCAGAGGCGAUGAAGGACGUGCUAAUCUGCGAUAAGCGUCGGUAAGGUGAUAUGAACCGUUAUAACCGGCGAUUUCCGAAUGGGGAAACCCAGUGUGAUUCGUCACACUAUCAUUAACUGAAUCCAUAGGUUAAUGAGGCGAACCGGGGGAACUGAAACAUCUAAGUACCCCGAGGAAAAGAAAUCAACCGAGAUUCCCCCAGUAGCGGCGAGCGAACGGGGAGCAGCCCAGAGCCUGAAUCAGUGUGUGUGUUAGUGGAAGCGUCUGGAAAGGCGUGCGAUACAGGGUGACAGCCCCGUACACAAAAAUGCACAUACUGUGAGCUCGAUGAGUAGGGCGGGACACGUGGUAUCCUGUCUGAAUAUGGGGGGACCAUCCUCCAAGGCUAAAUACUCCUGACUGACCGAUAGUGAACCAGUACCGUGAGGGAAAGGCGAAAAGAA